rnacentral:rRNA from 1 species
UUUAAGGUCUAACCUGCCCAAUGAGGAUUUAAAUGGCCGCAGUAUUUUGACUGUGCAAAGGUAGCAUAAUUAUUAGUUUUUUAAUUGAAAGCUUGUAUGAAGGGUUGGACGAGAUAAAAUCUGUCUUUAUUUAAAUUAAAGUAUAAUUUAACUUUUAAGUCAAAAGGCUUAAAUGUUUAUAAAAGACGAGAAGACCCUAUAGAUCUUUAUUUAGUUAAGAUUUUAAUAAUUUAGGAUUAUUUUAAUUUGGAGUUUUAAUUAAAUUUUAUUGGGGUAAUAUAAAGAUUAAAUUAAUUCUUUUUAUUUAUAACAUUAAUUUAUGAAUAUGUGAUCCAUUAAUAUUGAUUAUAAGAUUAAGUUACCUUAGGGAUAACAGCGUAAUUUUUUUGGAGAGCUCAUAUCGAUAAGAAAGUUUGCGACCUCGAUGUUGGAUUAAAAAUUAGCUUGGGUGCAGAAGCUCAAGAUUUUGGUCUGUUCGACCAUUAAAUUUUUACAUGAUCUGAGUUCAGACCGGCGUAAGCCAGGUCGGUUUCUAUCUUUAUUCAGAUAAAAUAUUUUAGUACGAAAGGACCAAGUAUUUAAUAUAAUUAUAUUUAUUUUUUGAAGAAUAUU